rnacentral:rRNA from 1 species
UACGGGGGGGGCAAGCGUUGUUCGGAAUUACUGGGCGUAAAGGGCGCGUAGGUGGCCUUCUAAGUUGAACGUGAAAUCCCUGGGCUCAACCCAGGAACUGCGUCCAAGACUGGGAGGCUUGAGUCCGGGAGAGGGAUGCGGAAUUCCAGGUGUAGCGGUGAAAUGCGUAGAUAUCUGGAGGAACACCGGUGGCGAAGGCGGCAUCCUGGACCGGUAUUGACACUGAGGCGCGAAAGCCAGGGGAGCAAACGGG